AUGUAGGCCUGUGGGUUUUUUUAGGGCGAUAUAUAAAGCCUAAUAUUACAGUGAGAUAAUGUAGGGAGAAAGCUGAUGGAAAUCAAAUAUAAACUGUUGUUAAUCCAGAAAAGUGCCUUCAUAUGAGCACUGCACAGCAUAGCAAUAGGCUAAUGUGACUAAAACAGUGCACUAUACAAACAUAUAACACCUGGCAACUUGUAAGAAUGUCAACUGUUGUGAAAUAUGUCUAUUUUUUACGCACAGCUUUUCGCGCGACCUUCUUGUACUAAAGCCAGCGUCGCAGUAACGUGCUGGGGUUUAUACUGAAGGUCUAAUCGCCCCAUUUCCUGUAUUUAUUCUAUUUCUCUGCGGAAAUUGACGCAGCUGUGGGCACAAGCGGACCUUCCUCCAUUCAAACCGCCUAUUCCUGGGCGACAGACGGGGGCGCGCAUCAGGCCACCUCCUCUUCCUCCUCAUGUCCACUCUCCGUGCGAUGUGUCCUCCCCAAACUCGGGAACUGUGAGCAGAAAUCAAGGCUUUAUUUUGCAGAGAAGAGUCUGUGUGCCUUUGUCCUCUACGGGGAUAUAUUGAAGAGAUCAGCAGAGUGAUUUCGGCAAUCAAGGAAAUCCUCCCUCAUGCAUACAUCAAAGCUGGGAUUGAGAAGGAUAGAGAGAGGAAAACAGAAGGGAGGAAAGAGACAUCAGUGCCACACAUGAAGAGGAGAGAGGAGAGGAAGUAACAGGAUGCUGAAGGAAGCUCUUACAGGAAUCAUUUUUGUUUAUCAUUUUCAUGCUCAGGAUUGCUCACCUGCUCUCAGAGAAAGCUGUGACCUCAACAUGUCCUACACCAUGCAGCGAAGCAUGUGAGUUGUGCCCCUCGCAACGAUUUUCAACUCAUCUCCUAUAGUUCAAGCUUUGGCUUUUGUUCCACCUUCUGGCGAGACUGAGGGAGCCUUACUGUCAAGUGCUUUUAAAGAAAUUGUAUUGUUUGGGAAAAAAAAGAUAAAGUAAAAUGAUCUGCAAUGGAUGAAAUUGGGGUGAAAAU